UAUUGCUAACUAAAAUGCUAAUUGACAUUAGUAAUUAAUCUUAAACAGCUAAUGUAAGUCAAAACUGCCUGCGAGUUUCUCCUAACUAUACGGUCAUUUCUCUACUGUGUGACAGAAAGUCGGGUGGUUAUGACACAACCGUUAGCCUAUUUUUUUCAAAAUGGCUGCUACGGGGUCAUAACGUGAGAUACAAGGAACCUUUUCAUACAUUGUUGUGUUUCUUUAGAAAUAAACAAUGGACAAAUAGUCUUUAAACACUUAAGAUAUACAGGUAUUAGCUGUCAAAGUGACACCAAAAUGAACUGGAGUCAAUGGAAUGCUAACAGAAGGAGAUGGCUUGUUAGCCUACAAUCUCCCCAUAGGAGAUAAGCUUUCCGGAUGCUCCCUUACCCCCUACAAAAAAUUUCU